UGAACAUUUUUAUUUUUUUUUCCUUUUUCUCUCCUUUCAAAUGCUUCGUGCCAUUCCUUGGAGGCACUAGAGCAUUGGAUUGUCCAAAUUUCUCCGGUUUUUCCUUUUGUUGUCGUUUUUUCUCUCUAUAUUGCGCUGCUAACUGUUUUGAUGGUGCAAUGCCACCGGGCAGGCAGCCAACUUAUCACAGCAUUAUAAUUCCACUGUACCACUCGUCCGUCGAUUGUUUGUUUUUUUUUUGACUCCCCUUGUAAAAUUUCUUGGCUUCAUUACGAAAUAGCUUUCGCCAGAUUACGUGGAAUUAAGAGAUGAACGAUUCCUGGUACUGCGUCCAAAAAUUUCGUCAUUAAAAACAAAUAAUUCAAACUGUCGUGCGGCGUAGUGACAAAAACAAAACAACAACAAGGGAGAGACGGAUUGCGAAGACUCUUAAUGUCCUUUUUUUUUCAUCAUCAUCCCAUGGGCAGGUGGUCAGAGCAGGUGAUGAGCCUUUUUUUUUCUGGAGCGAGGUUGUCGCCGAGAAUCAUCCCAGUUGUUUUUUCCAGGUCUUGUCAACCGACCAUCUGCCAGUCCAGACACAGGUGGGCCGCAAGUAAUGAUGGCCUCGUUUACGGCACGUUACGCAAAAAAAACAUUUUGUUCUCUACCAACCGAUUCCUGGACACAAUGCUCGCCAAGAUUUUUUUUUUCUUUCUUAUUUCUUUGCAGGUAUACCCGACUGUACCAAGAACUGUUUGGUUAUGUUUCCCAAUGUUUCCCAGGAACAUUGGCGAUAUAUACGUGCAGCCACCGUCAAAACCCAAGGUCCAGUAAACCCCCCCACUCGCUACCACCCAGCAAAAAUUACGUACACGCAGAAAACAAAAUAAAAUCCCCCCACCUUCUUUUCCUUGACAACUGUGCACCGAAAGGUGCGGACAUUGGACCGGGAUUAGGUGCCGAUAACCUCCCAAGGUCUCUCUCCUACCUGCCACUAUUACAACUUGGAAUAUGGAAGCCACUACGGCAGCCGCGUGCAUAUCCAAUACGGCCGUGAUACAAAAACAAAAACAAAAAAAAAUUUCAAAUCAAAUAACUAGACACAGGUUGGUAGUUUGUGUGUGGCUUUGACUUGACAUUCGUUUGAUGUACACACGCCCAUCAAUGUCCAAGAGAAUUGCGCCAGCAGCCUGACAAGGUCAAUACCAGGAAUCAUUCUCUUGGCGCGUGAACAGAUUAAGGCUCUCUUAUUUGAUUUCAUGGAAUUUCCUCGACCCCAGUUUCUCAUAUUCUUGUCAGUCACUUUUUCCUUCUUGUUGUCGUCAUUUCAAUUUUUACGAGCUUAAAUAAACCUGUCAGUGGAAAAUUAAAA